rnacentral:rRNA from 1 species
GACGUAGGGCGCGAGCGUUGUCCGGAUUUAUUGGGCGUAAAGAGCUCGUAGGCGGUUUGUCGCGUCUGCUGUGAAAACCUAAGGCUCAACCUUGGGCUUGCAGUGGGUACGGGCAGACUAGAGUGCGGUAGGGGUGACUGGAAUUCCUGGUGUAGCGGUGGAAUGCGCAGAUAUCAGGAGGAACACCGAUGGCGAAGGCAGGUCUCUGGGCAUUAACUGACGCUGGAGGAGCGAAAAGCCAUGGGGAGCGAACAGG